rnacentral:siRNA from 1 species
AAGCUAUUCAUCCCCUGUUCUUCA